CAUACCACCCUGAACGCGCCCGAUCUCGUCUGAUCUCGGAAGCUAAGCAGGGUCGGGCCUGGUUAGUACUUGGAUGGGAGACCACCUGGGAAUACCGGGAUUAAAAAAAAA
rnacentral:rRNA from 1 species